CAUUUUGUAAUGCGGCUCAGCUCUUCUGCAAGAUUUGCAGCUCUUUUUAUUUAUUAAUAAAAAUAGAAAAUGAAAAUAAAGCAACUUAAUUAACCAAGUAGAUAAAAUCAGCUGUAAAUCUUGCAGAAGAGCUGAGCCACAUUAUAAAAUG
rnacentral:miRNA from 1 species